ACCUUGUCCUCGGCGCUGCAGGCUGCCUCCGCCUUGCGGCUGUGAACCGCCCGGAGACCUUGAGCGUGGAAAAAAACAUUUUUUCUCUCAAAGGUGUAACCUGUGGAUCGCAGUAGGCGAAACUGGGAAAAUGAGACUCACACACAGAACGAACACUCUGUGAAGGUGAAGACAGAGAUCACAGUGAUGUUUCUACAUGCCAGGGAACACCAAAGAUGACCAGCAGACCCCAAGAAGCUGGGGGAGAGGCCUGGGACAGACUCUUCUUCACAGCCUCAGAAUGAACCGACCCUGCUGACGCCUUGAUCUCAGACUUCCAGCCUCCAGAGCUGGAUGUAACAACCUCCGGGAAAAAGACUUCUGCUGGUAUCCAUCACCAGUGAC